UACGUAGGUGACCAGCGUUGUCCGGAUUUACUGGGCGUAAAGAGCGCGCAGGCGGUCGUUCAAGUCGAGUGUGAAAGCCCCCGGCUCAACUGGGGAGGGUCACUCGAUACUGAUCGACUUGAAGGCAGGAGAGGGUAGUGGAAUUCCCGGUGUAGUGGUGAAAUGGCGUAGAUAUCGGGAGGAACACCAGUGGCGAAGGCGACUACCUGGCCUGUUCUUGACGCUGAGGCGCGAA
rnacentral:rRNA from 1 species